GAGAGACUGGGAUGACCAACACUGGUAGGCAGACAGACUGGGAUGACCAACACUGGUAGGUAGAGAGACUGGGAUGACCAACACUGGUAGGCAGACAGACUGGGAUGACCAACACUGGUAGGCAGAGAGACUGGGAUGACCAACACUGGUAGGUAGAGAGACUGGGAUGACCAACACUGGUAGGUAGAGAGACUGGGAUGACCAACACUGGUAGGUAGAGAGACUGGGAUGACCAACACUGGUAGGUAGAGAGACUGGGAUGACCAACACUGGUAGGCAGAGAGACUGGGAUGACCAACACUGGUAGGCAGAGAGACUGGGAUGACCAACACUGGUAGGUAGAGACAGACUGGGAUGACCAACACUGGUAGGCAGAGAGACUGGGAUGACCAACACUGGUAGGCAGAGAGACUGGGAUGACCAACACUGGUAGGUAGAGACAGACUGGGAUGACCAACACUGGUAGGUAGAGACAGACUGGGAUGACCAACACUGGUAGGUAGAGACAGACUGGGAUGACCAACACUGGUAGGCAGAGAGACUGGGAUGGCCAACACUGGUAGGUAGAGAGACUGGGAUGACCAACACUGGUAGGUAGAGACAGACUGGGAUGACCAACACUGGUAGGUAGAGACAGACUGGGAUGACCAACACUGGUAGGUAGAGACAGACUGGGAUGACCAACACUGGUAGGUAGAGACAGACUGGGAUGACCAACACUGGUAGGUAGAGACAGACUGGGAUGACCAACACUGGUAGGCAGAGAGACUGGGAUGGCCAACACUGGUAGGUAGAGAGACUGGGAUGACCAACACUGGUAGGUAGAGAGACUGGGAUGACCAACACUGGUAGGUAGAGACAGACUGGGAUGACCAACACUGGUAGGUAGAGACAGACUGGGAUGACCAACACUGGUAGGUAGAGAGACUGGGAUGACCAACACUGGUAGGUAGAGAGACUGGGAUGACCAACACUGGUAGGUAGAGACAGACUGGGAUGACCAACACUGGUAGGUAGAGACAGACUGGGAUGACCAACACUGGUAGGCAGACAGACUGGGAUGACCAACACUGGUAGGUAGAGACAGACUGGAUGACCAACACUGGUAGCUUGGCAUGUAAAGGCGAGGAAGAUGCCAAUGCCACUACAGUAUAUCUCCAUGGAAGUAUGAACCCCCAUAGCUAGCUACAGUUGGGCUCAAUUCCAUUUCAAUUCCAGUCAAUUCAGGAAGUAAAAGUAUCUCCAAUACUUUUCAAUGAGGAAUUGGA
ensembl:lncRNA